rnacentral:rRNA from 1 species
ACCUGCGAAGAUCAUACUAGAUUUAGGCUUUGCCUGCUAUCUCUUACCCAUGUCUUUUGAGUACCUUACGUUUCCUCGGCGGGUCCGCCCGCCGAUUGGACAAUUUAAACCAUUUGCAGUUGCAAUCAGCGUCUGAAAAAACUUAAUAGUUACAACUUUCAACAACGGAUCUCUUGGUUCUGGCAUCGAUGAAGAACGCAGCGAAAUGCGAUAAGUAGUGUGAAUUGCAGAAUUCAGUGAAUCAUCGAAUCUUUGAACGCACAUUGCGCCCCUUGGUAUUCCAUGGGGCAUGCCUGUUCGAGCGUCAUUUGUACCUUCAAGCUCUGCUUGGUGUUGGGUGUUUGUCUCGCCUCUGCGUGUAGACUCGCCUCAAAACAAUUGGCAGCCGGCGUAUUGAUUUCGGAGCGCAGUACAUCUCGCGCUUUGCACUCAUAACAGACGACGUCCAAAAGUACAUUUUUACACUCUGACCUC